rnacentral:rRNA from 1 species
CCUACGGGUGGCAGCAGUGGGGGAUAUUGCACAAUGGGGGGAACCCUGAUGCAGCGACGCCGCGUGGGUGAAGAAGCGCCUCGGCGCGUAAAGCCCUGUCAGCAGGGAAGAAAAUGACGGUACCUGAAGAAGAAGCCCCGGCUAACUACGUGCCAGCAGCCGCGGUAAUACGUAGGGGGCAAGCGUUAUCCGGAUUUACUGGGUGUAAAGGGGGCGCAGGCGGCGAUGCAAGCCAGGAGUGAAAGCCCGGGGCCCAACCCCGGGACUGCUCUUGGAACUGCGUGGCUGGAGUGCAGGAGGGGCAGGCGGAAUGCGUAGUGUAGCGGUGAAAUGCGUAGAUAUUAGGAGGAACACCAGUGGCGAAGGCGGCCUGCUGGGCUUUUACUGACGCUGAGGCUCGAAAGUGUGGGGAGCAAACAGGAUUAGAUACCCUUGUAGUC